rnacentral:rRNA from 1 species
GAUGAACGCUGGCGGCGUGCCUAAUACAUGCAAGUCGAGCGAACAGAUAAGGAGCUUGCUCCUUUGAAGUUAGCGGCGGACGGGUGAGUAACACGUGGGUAACCUACCUAUAAGACUGGGGUAACUUCGGGAAACCGGAGCUAAUACCGGAUAACAUUUAGAACCGCAUGGUUCUAAAGUGAAAGAUGGUUUUGCUAUCACUUAUAGAUGGACCCGCGCCGUAUUAGCUAGUUGGUAAGGUAACGGCUUACCAAGGCGACGAUACGUAGCCGACCUGAGAGGGUGAUCGGCCACACCGGAACUGAGACACGGUCCAGACUCCUACGGGAGGCAGCAGUAGGGAAUCUUCCGCAAUGGGCGAAAGCCUGACGGAGCAACGCCGCGUGAGUGAUGAAGGGUUUCGGCUCGUAAAACUCUGUUAUUAGGGAAGAACAAAUGUGUAAGUAACUGUGCACAUCUUGACGGUACCUAAUCAGAAAGCCACGGCUAACUACGUG